GCGGCGAUGGUGAAAUCGGAAAACACGCGGUAUUCAAAAUUCCGUGGCCUUCGGGCCUUGCGGGUUCGAGUCCCGCUCGCCGCACCA
rnacentral:tRNA from 1 species